AUCAGUCCAGCUGCAGUGAUGCUCUCGAGAUUCCUGAACAAGUAACGGGACGGGGGUAGAACAUUCCAACUUUUGUCUUAGUUAACUGGAUUAAAGUGAAGUGUCAUGAGGGUGCUGCGGUGGUGGUGGUCAACAGGAAAAGGGUUAGUGACCAUACACUGUAUUUCUCUGCGUCAUGACUAACAAUAGGCCGCCGCCAAGUGACAGAGGAAAACAGAUAGUUGUCGAUGAGGAAAACUUCAACGGAGGCGUCCAUGGACUGACGUUGUGGAGGCGGACAUGAAUUUCGGCGUCCCCGCUAACACCCUGCUGCUCCUCCGAGCCUGCGACGAGGGCGACUAUGAAGCGGCCAGGGGGAUCCUGGAGCCCGGGGCUGCGAGGGAGUCCGGCCGGCAGAGCAGGCUCCGCUCCGAGGCUGGCUCCGAGGACCGCACUUCCGCGGACAUGUUGUCGCUGGUGCCGGUGGACUGCACCGACGAGGAGGGUAACACCGGUCUGCAGUUCGCUUCGGCAAGCGGUCACGAAAACUUGGUCCGGUUUCUGCUCCGGAAGGGAGCUUCGGUGGACAGCCGCAACAACUACGGCUGGACCCCGCUGAUGCAGGCGGCGAGGUUUGGCCACCUGACGGUCGCCCACCUCCUGUUGGAGAACGGUGCAGAGAUCAACGGGCGGAACAGGUUAGGAGCAAGUGUCCUGACGAUGGCCGCCCGCGGGGGACACACUCACGUGCUCAAGCUUCUCCUGGAGGCCGGCGCCUUUGUCGACGACUAUGAUCAUCUGUCAGUCGCUGCUGAUGCUAUAUCUAAUGGCAACACGAACAACAGCUGCAGCGCGCCAGGGUUUGGGGCAGAGGACGGCUGUGUGGGAGGUGGAGUCCGGGACUUCAUGGACAUUACGGCAUUAAUGGUGGCAUCUCAGCAUGGGAGCGAGGCGUCAGUGCGUCUGCUGCUGGAGUGGGGCUCCGACCUACGAUAUUCCCAGAAGACCACAGGCUGGGGUCCACUAAUGCUCGCAACUCUGAGCGGGAAGGCGUCAGUGGCGCAGCAGCUGGUGGAGCGGGGGGCCGAUCCUGACCAGGUCAACGUUCUGUCCAAGACGGCCUUCGAGUUGGCCAUGCAGCUGAAGCAGAGAGACAUUAAGGCCUAUCUGGACCCCAUCACCACCGUCCGACCUCAGACAGAUGAUGAGAGAAGAAGACCAGACGUGUUCAGUGCUCUCAAACUAGGUAACUCCCAGCUUGUCAAGGAGAUCCUGGAGGAAGACCCUGCGCAGGUGAACACCUCCAACCAAGAAGGGGCCUCUCCUCUCAUGAUGGCGGCGGUGAGCGGUCAGUUGGAGGUCGUCCAGCUGAUGGUGGAGAAGAACGCCGAGAUCGAUAAACAAGACGCCGUUCAUGGGUGGACGGCCCUGAUGCAGGCCACGUACCACGGGAACAAAGAUAUUGUCAAGUAUUUCCUAAGUCAAGGUGCGGACGUGAACCUCAGAGCAAAGAACGGUUACACAGCUUUUGAUCUGGUCAUGCUGCUGAAUGACCCAGAUACGGAGUUGGUGCGGUUGUUAGCAUCCGUCUGUAUGCAGGUAGACAAGGACAAGUCCAAGCAGCGGGGCAGGACGUCGCUCGCCCACCCUAAAAACAGAAGCUCACUGAGCACUGUGCCGGUGCCGCCUGAUGAUAAAGGCGGGUUGAAGUCCUGGUGGAGUCGGAUGUCGAAUCGCUUCCGGCGGCUCAAACUGACUCACACUCUGAGGCACGGCCUUUCCUCCAAUCGCUUGGCUCCAUUCCCUGAUGACACUGGCGCCUCGCUGGAUGCUACAAUGAAGGCGAACAUGAAGAACGCUGGCACCUCAGCUGGGCUGCCGUCCACUCCUGUCCUGGGGGGCAGCGACGUGAGUGGAGUGUGGGCGGUCAAGACCAAAGAUCCUCUGGGUGUGGGGAGAACGUCGUCGGACAAAGAGGACUUCCUCAUCACUACGAUGCUUCGAAGUGGCGCCCCCCUGACACGCCUGCCGAAUGACAAGCUGAAAGCUGUGAUCCCCCCGUUCCUCCCACCCUCCAACUUUGAGCCGUGGAACUCUGACCGCUCUCGCCUCCUCAGGGAAGGGAAGAGUGAAGCUCCCAGGCUGCCCAUGCCCCCACAGAGGAAGCUGAACAGCAGCGGGAACUCUGACAUCACAUCCAUUAGUCGAGUGGUCAGCAGAUCCAUCAAGUUCCCCAGCAUCACCAAGGGUCCUAAUUCCACAUCUCCUUCCAACUCUGGCCACUACCACUCCCCCCACUCCUCCGGGGGAUCAAAUGGCGUGGCAGGAGUCAAUCGGGAAUCUCACAACCGCUCAGGUGGCAGUGCAGACAGCGUCCUGUCUCAGAUUGCUGCCCAAAGAAAGCGAGCAGCAGGUUUGAUAGAUGUGAAGACUCCUGAGAAGCAGCCGAGCCAGACUCCGAGUUCAGCUGCUGUGUCCAGUCUGCCGCCUCCCGACAUCAGUCUCCCUGACAUCCACGCCAAGAGGAAGUUGGACAUCAAGAAAAGACCUCAGUCCGGCAACUCCUCAACCUCCAAGAGCACAUCGCCCACUCUGACACCGUCUCCCUCUCCAACACCCAAACCUCCAGCGGGACCAGGGGAUUCUCUCUCCUCGGCCUCCUCCCACCCUCGCUCCAAAAGCAGCGGGGGCUCCAGCAGCGGCACCAUCACUGACGAAGAUGAGCUCUCUGGCAUCCUGAAGAAGCUGUCCUUGGAAAAAUACCAGCCCAUCUUCGAGGAGCAGGAGGUGGACAUGGAGGCCUUCCUCACUUUGACUGACGGGGACCUGAGAGAGCUGGGCAUCAAAACAGACGGCCCAAGACAACAAAUCUUAGCUGCAAUUUCAGAGCUCAACGCUGGCAAGGGCAGAGAGAGACAGAUUCUUCAAGAAACCAUUCACAAUUUCCAGUCGUCGUUCGGGAGCAGCGCCAGCAACUCCAGACAACAAGGGCCACAACCACGCUGAUGUUCCUCUCUAGCUUCCCCUUCACUUCAGCUGCUACCCUUCUUUCAGAAAGCAACCAUCUUGCACCAACCAACUGGAUGAGACACCAGGUUCGCACCACCAAGAGGUAACCAAGACGAGUCACCGGGAGUCACUUCAUACCAACUUAAGCAAACUCCAAUGGACCUUUUGGGCCUUGAUGCAGAGACUAAUGAAGGAAAAGACGCGGAACUCAUCAGUAAAGUCUCUGCUGAGGUGUGCGACGUAUGAACCUGGCGGGAUGUCCGCUCCUCUGCAUGGAUACGCAUGAGUUGUUCCAGUAAAAGACAUGUUUUGGAUGUUUCAAGUCCUUGUAAACUCCAAGAAAAGACUAAGUCUUCACUGAGAAUUGACCACAACAGAAGUGUGUGUCCUUGUGUGGAAGAAAAACUUUCUCCUCCUCCGCUGAGAAACGUCAACUGGGACAGCAUGAAGACGCCCAGCAACAUGUCUUAAUCAAACACAGCACAGGAUCAAGUGAAUAUGAACUUUCAAAGUAGCUUUGAAGACUUCCUGAGUGCAAUGACAAAAGUCUGAAAUGGAGACCAAGGGACAAUUUUAAUGUUCUGUGUUGUUUUGUAAACAUGUAAUUACUGUAACAGAAUCAGUAAACAAUUAAUUAUUUAACAUCACAUGCUUUCAUUUUUGAAAAACAUGCUGUAUUUCUGAGAUGGCAGCAACACGAGUUAGUUUAUGAGCAGAAUAAAUUUAGCUAAGUACACUGAGCAAGAGUUUCCACUGGUUCUGUUUUGACUUUUUUUUUCUCUUUUGCCGUCCAGUA